GGCUCUGACCCAUCAGAACAGAGCAACUACUGUUCAUGCUGUUCGGGACUCAGAACUGGCUAAACUACCUGAGGGCGCUCUCAGUUCCAUCAAGAGGAAAUUCCCACAGGUAGUCACAAGGCUCAUUCACCUGCUUGGACAGAAGAUCCUCCAGCAAGUUAAUGGACCUUUGACAGCUCGCAGUCUAGCUCUACACACACCCGGCAGUAAAUGGGACACGGGGAACCCUGCCUCAAACCUGGCCACCGUCACUGUGCUCCCGGUAUCAGAGGAGGUUCCUCUGACUGCGUUCACCCUGGAACUUCA